AAUCCAUAAUCCUUCCCCAAAAACCUCACCGUAGUGCCGCCUACCACUCCCAUGGCGUUCCCAGCCUGUGCCGGGCUGGGCCUGCACUGAUUCAUGUGGCAGUCCCAUGUCAUACUCUCAACCUGAAAAGGAUUUGCUCGCUUAUAUUUACCAGGGUGGUCAGGGAAGCUCUCUUGAAACACAGAAAGCCUAGUGUCUGAGCCUCACCCCCAGACAGUAUUUUUACCGCUCUGUGCUAGUAACCUGGACAUGUUGGACCUUACCAGAACCAGAUGAAGCUCCAGUGUUUCCAGAGUGGUGUGUCUCAGCAGUGCAGAGGUCAGAGUCCACGCAACCGCGCCUACACAACCGCAUGGCCACGUUUUGGUAUGCAGAUACACAGACGCAGGUUCCAGUUAAGAUGUCCAUGUGCAUCUUACUGUGAAGACAUGAUAUAAAGAAGAUUUCCAGCAAAACAAUGCAGAAUUUGACAUGAAAGAUUCAUCUCUUCCUCCCCUCGAAAAGUAACGGAGAAGUGUGCCAGAGACCCCAGCACAACCCUCUCCAUCACUGCUGCCCUUGACAAGUCAAGAAAUGGAUCCUGUCAGCCUCUACAGCAUUUAGCACCACAAUUAUCCCCCUUUUCACAGCUAGGAUGCAUUAUUGUAAACCACACCAGGCAGUAGUUGCCACUUAGUGAUGAGCAUGAUGUGGUGCACCAUCUCUGGGUGAGCAAUUUAAUGCAAUUGUGUUUCUCUGUGAUCAUCAGUGCAAAUCAGGGCCUGCUCAUUUAUUGAGCAAUUUCUGUUAGAAAAAAAUUAAAAGGAAGGCUCUUUAAUUUGGCAGGAGAUAGUAAUAUCUCUUAAAAGCAACAAUGUUGCAUAAUGUGGCUGACAUCAAACAAAAGAACAACAUUGGAGCGAGACUGGGAGGUGUCCAAUAUUCUGAGAGGAACAGGCAUUGUCAUGUGGCCACCUGGAGUAGGUGGCAGUACAGACCAAAGUGACAAGGAUUCACUCCUUGGGUGUGAGAAUAAGUCACUCCAUAGGACGCGCACACAGGACCCAUCCGUUGGCCUUAGCUGACCUUCAGCUCUGGCGAUGGCUAAUGGAGGGCUGGCCCUCGAUCAAUGCAGUGAGAGACCGUCUCCCCAUCCCUGACCUUUCACCGGACCAGGAAGGGCCGGAUGCUGCCAGGACCCACACCGCGGAGCCAUCGACCCUGCCACUUUCCCAUCCUGUGGGUGACAGCUACACUGCCAAUGAGUCUGGGGACGCCACGCUGCCCUUCCACGUAGGAAGGACAGCCAGGAACUCCAUCUCUGGGGUGGCGGGGAGUAAAGUCACUGAUGAUCGGCUUGUGAAUGUCAGAUCCAUGUUAACACCACCAGCAAACACUUUGGUGUUGAGUAGAUGUUGAUAUGACAGCUUGCACUAGGGUUGAAAACCUGUAUAUAUGGAACUUGUUCAUAGUUGUCUGGAGCUCCAAGGUGCAUUAUUGUGUGGAAUAUGUUUAUGUUUUCAGUUUAAAACGUUUUCUAAAGCUCUUUCAAUGUUUUUUCCAUUUCACUGAGUAGUAAAAAUGCUGUGCUUAUUAGUGUUGGUGUAAACAUAAGCAUCUAUCAAAUGCAUGCUGCGACAGCUUUGUUUGUAAAACGAUAUUCCACCUUAUUGCUUUAUAUUAAAUUAGAUGGAAUAGAGUUGGACCAAAAGCUGAGAACUCCUGUAAACUUUUGUCAGUAAAAGUUGAAGUCACCUCAAUAUAAAACCCAUCUCCUGCAUUACUCUUGUCAAAGUUAGAACUUGUGUUUGCAGUUUGAUUGUUCUGUGCAUUCGUUGUGCACUUAAUGUUACCACAGGGAAUAUAUCUUUAUUAUGCUGCACCAUGUUGCUAAGAGGAGCCUGAUGUUGUGCUUGGUGGUGUACUUUGUAACCCAGAUGGUGCACUACUGUAUACCUUUUAUCAGCCUUUUUUGUCAAUACAAAUGUCUGCAUAAAAAAAUAACACAACCAUA